AGGCGCGUAGCUCAGCAGGACAGAGCACUGGUUUCCUAAACCGGGGGUCGGCGGUUCGAGCCCGCCCGCGCCUA
rnacentral:tRNA from 1 species